GCAAAGAUAUUUUCGUCGGGGGAAACCUAAUCCGGCAAAUUUUGUCGGCAUAGAUCUUUGCCGACGAAAUUUCGUCGGGAGAAGUGUUCAUGUGUUUUUUUUUUUUUUCAAAAGUAUAAAGUUUAAAAAUAUGGAUAUGUUUAAACUAGCAAAUUAAUAUCUAUAAAGUACAAGCUAAUGCAACUUGGAGGGUCCUUCUUUCUUUUAUUUAUUUAUUAAAUACUAUAUUUACAUAGUAUCGCCGUGCGGCUGUACUAUAUUUUUCUUUUUGAAAAAUAGUCUAGCCGGGCGGCUAUACUUUUUGGGGACACGUGGCGCCUAAUCGCUGGAGGCUCCUUUUUUAAGACCAAAAAAUAGUACAGCCGCACGGCUAUACUCGGUGUUUUUUAAAAAGUCGACACGUGGCGCCUUUUUAUAUUAAAAAUAGUAUAGCCGCACGGCUAUACUCAGUUUUUUUUUUUUUUUUUUAAUUUUUUUAAUUUUUUAAAUUUUUUUUUUUUUUUUUUAAUGAAAAGGUAGGCUACACCCUUUAAGUAGCAUGGUAUGUAUUUCACUUUUUUAAUUACUUUGAUUAGUAAAGGAGAAAAAGAAGAAGAGAAAAAUUGAAUUACUAUUCAUUAAGUAAUAUAAUUCAUGAAGUUAAUUAAAAUAUUUAAUCAUAAUCAGUCAUUAAAUAAAUAAACUAAUUAAAAUAUAAUUGCUAAUUCAACUAAUUAAAUCUCCAAAUAUAUUAUGUAGUUACUAAAAAUAAAAUUUUUAUAAAUUAAUUAACCUAAACAUCCUAAGUUUAUACUUAUUUUUUAAAAUUAAGACCUUUCCCGACGAAAUUUCGUCGGCAAAGAUAUUUUCGUCGGGGGAAACCUAAUCCGGCAAAUUUUGUCGGCAUAGAUCUUUGCCGACGAAAUUUCGUCGGGAGAAGUGUUCAUGUGUUUUUUUUUUUUUUCAAAAGUAUAAAGUUUAAAAAUAUGGAUAUGUUUAAACUAGCAAAUUAAUAUCUAUAAAGUACAAGCUAAUGCAACUUGGAGGGUCCUUCUUUCUUUUAUUUAUUUAUUAAAUACUAUAUUUACAUAGUAUAGCCGUGCGGCUGUACUAUAUUUUUCUUUUUGAAAAAUAGUCUAGCCGGGCGGCUAUACUUUUUGGGGACACGUGGCGCCUAAUCGCUGGAGGCUCCUUUUUAAGACCAAAAAAUAGUACAGCCGCACGGCUAUACUCGGUGUUUUUUAAAAAGUCGACACGUGGCGCCUUUUUUAUUAAAAACAGUAUAGCCGCACGGCUAUACUCAGUUUUUUUUUUUUUAAAAUUUUUUUUUUUUUUUUUUUUUUUUAAUGAAAAGGUAGGCUACACCCUUUAAGUAGCAUGGUAUGUAUUUCACUUUUUUAAUUACUUUGAUUAGUAAAGGAGAAAAAGAAGAAGAGAAAAUUGAAUUACUAUUCAUUAAGUAAUAUAAUUCAUGAAGUUAAUUAAAAUAUUUAAUCAUAAUCAGUCAUUAAAUAAAUAAACUAAUUAAAAUAUAAUUGCUAAUUCAACUAAUUAAAUCUCCAAAUAUAUUAUGUAGUUACUAAAAAUAAAAUUUUUAUAAAUUAAUUAACCUAAACAUCCUA
rnacentral:lncRNA from 1 species